GAUGAACGCUGGCGGCGUGCCUAAUACAUGCAAGUCGAGCGAACAGACGAGGAGCUUGCUCCUCUGACGUUAGCGGCGGACGGGUGAGUAACACGUGGAUAACCUACCUAUAAGACUGGGAUAACUUCGGGAAACCGGAGCUAAUACCGGAUAAUAUAUUGAACCGCAUGGUUCAAUAGUGAAAGACGGUUUUGCUGUCACUUAUAGAUGGAUCCGCGCCGCAUUAGCUAGUUGGUAAGGUAACGGCUUACCAAGGCUACGAUGCGUAGCCGACCUGAGAGAGUGAUCGGCCACACUGGAACUGAGACACGGUCCAGACUCCUACGGGAGGCAGCAGUAGGGAAUCGUCCGCAAUGGGCGAAAGCCUGACGGAGCAACGCCGCGUGAGUGAUGAAGAUCUUCGGAUCGUAAAACUCUGUUAUUAGGGAAGAACAAAUGUGUAAGGAACUAUGCACGUCGUGACGGUACCUAAUCAGAAAGCCACGGCUAACUACGUG
rnacentral:rRNA from 1 species